AUUGAACGCUGGCGGCAUGCCUUACACAUGCAAGUCGAACGGCAGCAUAGGAGCUUGCUCCUGAUGGCGAGUGGCGAACGGGUGAGUAAUAUAUCGGAACGUGCCCUAGAGUGGGGGAUAACUAGUCGAAAGACUAGCUAAUACCGCAUACGAUCUACGGAUGAAAGUGGGGGAUCGCAAGACCUCAUGCUCCUGGAGCGGCCGAUAUCUGAUUAGCUAGUUGGUGGGGUAAAAGCCUACCAAGGCAACGAUCAGUAGCUGGUCUGAGAGGACGACCAGCCACACUGGGACUGAGACACGGCCCAGACUCCUACGGGAGGCAGCAGUGGGGAAUUUUGGACAAUGGGGGCAACCCUGAUCCAGCAAUGCCGCGUGAGUGAAGAAGGCCUUCGGGUUGUAAAGCUCUUUUGUCAGGGAAGAAACGGUAGUAGCUAAUAUCUACUACUAAUGACGGUACCUGAAGAAUAAGCACCGGCUAACUACGUGCCAGCCGCCGCCGUAA
rnacentral:rRNA from 1 species